UACGUAGGUGACAAGCGUUGUCCGGAAUUACUGGGCGUAAAGGGCUCGUAGGCGGCCAACUAAGUCGGACGUGAAAUCCCUCGGCUUAACCGGGGAACUGCGUCCGAUACUGGAUGGCUUGAGAUUGGGAGAGGGAUGCGGAAUUCCAGGUGUAGCGGUGAAAUGCGUAGAUAUCUGGAGGAACACCGGUGGCGAAGGCGGCAUCCUGGACCAACACUGACGCUGAGGAGCGAAAGCCAGGGGAGCAAACGGG
rnacentral:rRNA from 1 species